rnacentral:rRNA from 1 species
UACGUAGGGGGCAAGCGUUGUCCGGAUUUAUUGGGUUUAAAGGGUGCGUAGGCGGCUUUUUAAGUCAGUGGUGAAAUCCUACAGCUUAACUGUAGAACAGCCAUUGAUACUGAAGAGCUUGAGUACAGACGAGGUAGGCGGAAUUUAUGGUGUAGCGGUGAAAUGCAUAGAUACCAUAAAGAACUCCUAUUGCGAAGGCAGCUUACUAGGCUGUAACUGACGCUGAGGCACGAAAGCGUGGGGAUCAAACAGG